CGAAGGAUGCAAGCGUUAUCCGGAUUCAUUGGGUUUAAAGGGUGCGUAGGCGGACUGAUAAGUCAGUGGUGAAAUCUCUUUGCUUAACAAAGAAACUGCCAUUGAUACAGUCGGUCUAGAGUAUAGAUGACGUUGGCGGAGUAUGACAUGUAGUGGUGAAAUACUUAGAUAUGUCAUAGAACACCGAUUGCGAAGGCAGCUAACGAAACUAUAACUGACGCUGAGGCACGAAAGUGCGGGGAUCAAACAGGAUUAGAUACCCUGGUAGUCCGCACCGUAAACGAUGAUUACUCGUUGUUGGCGAUAUGACAGUCAGCGACCAAGCGAAAGCGAUAAGUAAUCCACCUGGGGAGUACGCCGGCAACGGUG
rnacentral:rRNA from 1 species